UAUUUAAAACUAUUUUUUAUAUUUAGAUGAAGGAACUCUAGAGAGAAUCUUUAUAAACAAUAGUAUAAUGACAAGAAUACCAUAAACAAUAAAAAUAAGAUUUCUACCAGUAAAAUUAUGUAUUAAACUUGGUUUCUUAAAAACUAUAAUUCCAAUUAAAAAUUAGUAAAAUUACAAUAGUACCAAAAUAAAAUAAAUAUAAAAACCAAUUAACAGAACUAAGUAUAAUCACUGGUUUUUUUUGGGAAGUUUAAGAUAUCAGUAUUCUUGAAAUUUGAGUCUCAAUUAAAAUAAACGAAUUUUCGGAAUUUAAAAAGUCAUUGCAAAGACUGAAUAUUCUCAGAAGGAAAAAACUCAUCAUUAAUUAUAAUCGAUUUCUGAGAUUUUCAUGAUAGAACUAGAAUACGUACUUGAAAAAAAAUUACAUAUUACAGUUUAUAAAAUAUUAAGAUAUUAUACUGAAAGUGUUUUAAAUGUGAUAUUAGUUGACAUUUAUGAACGAUAUUAUAAUAAUUUAUAUGCUUUCGUAUUCUAAUUAUAAUUUCAUAUUUCUUAUUUCAUAUUUCAAACGACAUUUAAAAUCAUGAUUUCAUAUUUCAAACGAUAUUUAAAAUCAUGAUUUCAUAUUUCAAACAAUAUUUAGUUUAGGGCUUAAUGAGAAGUUGUCCUCAUGCCUAAAUUCUUGAGACUCUAAAUCUUUAUUAUGUGAUUUAAUUAAACUUGGUAUUAUCACGACCUCAAAAUCUUGUAUUAACAUUAAUUUUUCGUCAUUCUAAUAUUAAU
rnacentral:lncRNA from 1 species